GCAGGGAAUUGCUUGAACCUGGAGGCAGAGGUUGCAGUGAGCUGAGAUCACACCACUGCACUCCAGCCUGGGUGACAGAGAGAGACUCCGUCUAAACUUCACUGAGGAGGCAGAAAAGGAACAUUUUGCUAAGAAACCCAAAAAAGAGAGGAGAUGAGAAAAUGGAAGAACAAAAAGGGAAGAUACAUGCUCACAGUUGCAAAUAUACUAAAAGAUGAAAUCCAAAACUCAAGAGUUUUCCAAUAAGCAUUCUGGAACAAGCUGAAUUUUCAGACUCUGUCCUCAAUGACAAUAUACCCUGCUCUGUCUUCUUAGGACUUUUUCUUUCCAGAACCUUUAAGUUCUUAGCUAAAUUCUACCACCAAGAACAAAAAUAUGAGGGUUAUGUAUAAGAAUAGUAAAUGACAUAAAAAUAUGUUUUUGCCAUGGUGCAUACUCUUCUCCAAUAAAAACUUUAACAAUCCAAUAAUCAAAUACAUAGAUUUUUAUGAAAGAACUAUUUAUCACAUAGAAAACUUUUCUCAGCCCCACUUCACUGCUCUUAUUUACCAAAAUUCAAAAUAACCUGUGGCAAUGGCCAUCACUAACAAUGCUUUCCCUUAUUCUUUCACCCACAUUAUCUUAUUUGAUCUUUACAGCCCAGAAAUAGAGUAUCAUCAUCCUCAUUUACCAACGAGCAAGCCAAGUCAGGAUAAAUGACUUGUCAAGGUUGGCCAAUAAUAUGGAACUUGAAACAAUGCAUGCCUUAUGCUGAAAACUUCUGCCUUUCUUCACCCAUUCUAAAGAAAAAUAACUUACUUAAAUAUCCAUACCUGCCAUAAUCAAGUAAGUUGCAACAAUAUUGUGUUCAGUCUGUGAAAAGACCGAGCCAUCUUCAUUUUUAGAGUCUGAACUGUUGCCUAAAUUAUUUCUUAGCAUUUUGGAGGGAAGAUACCGAAACACCCUUCAUAAUAAGCCUUCGAUAAUUAUGAACUGCUUUAUGAGCUACUGAGGAAAGAUUUUUUAGGACCAAUCAUUUCCACUUAGAGACCUCAAAGAAGGGCCUUUUCAUAGAGGCCCUCCCUUAACAAAUUUAAUUGGGCUAAAGAGGAAAGGACUUUAAUUCCCAGAAUAAGGGAAAAGCUUAUUAGCAAAACAAAAAGAAAUACCAAGCACCACACAUUUUAACCUAUUUGGGCAUCAGUCUUCUAUCUAAGGAGAUUAUCAAGCACACACAUCCCAUUUAACAAUAAACAAACUCAGGAAAUCAGUAUAGGAGCCAGCCUUAGUCCUCUAAAACUAUUCGGAUUAAGGUCCCUGUUUUCUGUUGACCAUUCAAGUCUUUCCAUUUCGGCUCCUUUUGUUGUUUUUUUUUUCUUAACAAUUUAAAUAUUAGUGACAAAGAAGUAGUCUCCUUCCUACUUCCAAAUCUCACUCUCCUAAAGGUACCAGUAUUGUUUGGUGCAUAUCCUUUCUUAGGCUUUUCUC
rnacentral:lncRNA from 10 species